UCCUGGCGGGUGCUCUAGGCUUGGGAU
rnacentral:sRNA from 1 species